rnacentral:lncRNA from 10 species
CCUUGUAACAGUGGGCUCUAGUUAUAGUUUGAGAUGCAAAGACUAUCCCUCCCUUCUAUUCUGGUUAUUUUGGCACUUAACAAAUUACUCCAAAACCGAGUGGUGUUAAACAACCAUUUAUUGUGCUCGCAGAUUCUGCGGGCCAGAAGUUUAGACAGGACACAGUGGGGCAGGCUCAUCUCUAUAGAGCAGCUUGAGAUCUGGGGCUAGAAUAAUUUGAAACAUUACUCACUCACAGGUCUGGUGGUCCAUACUGGUAAGAGUCAAAGACCUGAGGGCCCUCUAGCCUCUUUCUGUCUCUAAUCCAACCCCACCAGUCUCUCUGACCUCAUCUCUUUCUUCUCUGCACUCUAACCAACUGGCCUUCUUAUUCUCUUCAAAUCCAAGUAUGUUCCUGCCUCAGAAUCUAUGCAUGGGCUGUUUGUUUCUGUCUAGAAUGUACUUCCCCCAUAUUGUCUCAUGUCUCCUCCCUUACCUUAUUUGGGUCUUAAGAGUUAACAAUCAGUGAGACCUUCCCUGACCAUCCUAUCUAAAAAGCCAUCCAUUCCUAUGGCUAACUUUUUAUCCUGCUUUAUUUUUUCCUCAUAGCACUUAUAUUUAUUGUUUAUUGACUGCUUCCUCUACUGGAAUAUAAGCUCAUGAGAGCAGAAACCCUUCCUAACUUUUUCAACAUUAUAUUUCCAGUGCUAAAACAGUAACUUUACAUGGUAGGUACUCAAUAAACACAUUUGAAUGAAAACUAGAAUUAAAAAGCGUUUUUUUUUUUUUGUCCUGUUCUUUCUUUGUUUAGUUACCUUAAAAACCUGUGAAGUAAUAAUGAACUAUCUGGAAAGAAAAUUAGGAAAACUCCCAUUUAUAAUUGCACUGAAAAAAAUAAAAUACUUAGGAGGUGAAAGACUUGUACACUAAAAACCACAAAACAUUGAUUAAAAAAAAUUAAAGACGACAGACUGAGGGAGAGAGACAGAGAAAGAGGGGAGAAGGAGGAGGAUUCAGGGAAUAGGAGCUGGGGAGCCCUUCUGUGCCACAGAAGUAGAAGUAGAGAUACUCAAGAUUAUGGCAGACAGGAGGCAGGACUAGAUUGCAGCUCUGACUUGGAUGGACAGAACACUGUGUGGAGGGUCGCAUCAUGAAUUUUAGCUCCAGAAUGACUGCAGGAAUAAAUCAGGAAUCCCAGAGGACCCACAGACCCUCUGAAGGAAGUGGAUUGCUCCUGCAGGACCCGGGAGACACCCCAAAUACCGCUCUGAUCUAACACAAGCCUUGUCCAGCCUCAUCUUGAGUUUUCAGCUGAGGAAACGGAGGCUCAAAUGCUCGUCAGUUUCCCAGGGACGUGGGCUGGUGAUAUACCUGCUCAUAUCCACUGCCUGUUUUUAGAGAAGAGGCAUCCAGAAUGGCAGAAAGAUGCAUGGCAAUGUCCUCAUUGUGUCAGGCGUGGCUUGGGUCCCUGUACCCUACUGAAGAAAUUUGAAGGUGCCACAGAAGAGAACCCAAAACAAGCCACAGAAAUGAGCCAAAGUAAUUAAAGGUGAGGGUAUAGAAAAGUGAAAUGAAUAAAGAUUGUUUAGGCCAGAGAAUAGAAGACUAAGGGGGAGGGGAAAGAAGGUAAACCUUACAAUUCUGAAUGAUUAGUGUCAUGGUUUGUGUGGCUAUAACAGAAUGCUAUAGACUGGGUGAUUUAUUAAUAUAAUAAAGAGAAAUUUAUUGGCUAAUAGUUCUGGAGGCUGGAAAGUCCAAGGUCAAGAUGCUGGCAGGUUUGGUGUGUGGUGAGGGCCUGGUCUCUGCUUCUAAGAUGGCACCUUGAAUGCUGCAUCCUCUGGAGGGGAGGAGCACUGUUCCUCACAUGACAGAUAAGUGGAAGAGCUAAGAGAAGGCAAGAGAGAGGCAGGGACUGAACUCACCCUUUCAUAAGGAACCUACUCCUGAGCUAACAAACCCACUCCCGCAAUAAUGACAUUAAUUCAUUCAUGAGACAGAGCCCUCAGGACCUAAUCAUCUCUUAUUAGGCACCCCUCCCAACAUUGAUGCACUGGGGAUUAAGUUUCCAACAAAUGAAUUUUGGGGGACACAUUCAAACCAUAGCAUGGAGUCUUUUGAGAAGGAUGGCUGAUGUGUG